GGCUCGGGAUGAACGCUGGCGGCGUGCUUAACACAUGCAAGUCGAACGGGAAACAUUUUAUUGAAGCUUCGGCGGAUUUAGCUUGUUUCUAGUGGCGGACGGGUGAGUAACGCGUGGGUAACCUGCCUUAUACUGGGGGAUAACAGCCAGAAAUGGCUGCUAAUACCGCAUAAGCGCACAGAACCGCAUGGUUCGGUGUGAAAAACUCCGGUGGUAUAAGAUGGACCCGCGUUGGAUUAGCUAGUUGGCAGGGCAGCGGCCUACCAAGGCGACGAUCCAUAGCCGGCCUGAGAGGGUGAACGGCCACAUUGGGACUGAGACACGGCCCAGACUCCUACGGGAGGCAGCAGUGGGGAAUAUUGCACAAUGGGGGAAACCCUGAUGCAGCGACGCCGCGUGAAGGAAGAAGUAUCUCGGUAUGUAAACUUCUAUCAGCAGGGAAGAUAAUGACGGUACCUGACUAAGAAGCCCCGGCUAACUACGUGCCAGCAGCCGCGGUAAUACGUAGGGGGCAAGCGUUAUCCGGAUUUACUGGGUGUAAAGGGAGCGUAGACGGCGCAGCAAGUCUGAUGUGAAAGGCAGGGGCUUAACUCCUGGACUGC
rnacentral:rRNA from 1 species